UGUAUGCGCAGUUGUCCCAUUAUUUCAACUGAACUUUAAAGUGAGGGUUUCAGAAGGACCAGGAUUUUGGUGCAAACCAAAUACUUUGCUUUGUUGCAUGUCAACAAAAGGUUUAUUUCUUGGAGAUAAUAUCAGGUAUCCAUAUUUUUCUGCCCUGCUGCCUUGUCCUGAGGGUCAGCUACUACUAUUCAACCCUACUGAAAAGAACAGCCUGUAUCCCAGCCUGAUGGAGUUCAUGCAAAGAUGGGGCCAUGGUGCAGAGCUUCGUUCUAAGGGUCAGCUACUGCCUGCCUCCUCUCCUGAAACUAACCACUUGUAUCCCACCCUGGUGCUGGAGACAGAAACAACCACCACACAGAGAGUGAUGCUGACAUACAGAAGCCCUUCACUUCCCUCUCAUUAAGAUCCAGUGGUCAACUAUGGCAUGAGACGGCGGCACACAGUGGGAUCAUGGGAGAAUCAUUCAAAUACUCAGCACACAGAGGACUUUGAGUAAGUGCUGAAAAAAGUAUCUAUUAUUUCGAUAUCAAGUAUAUGUGAUGCUUUAGGCAUUAACUAUUCAUUGCUUAUGUGAUGCCUAUAAACUAGAAUUAAAUUGGUUGGGUUCCUUGAAGUGAUGCCAUAGAAUGAGGUGUAUAGUCAUAUGCAAUUGGUCAUACAUUGGUCAAGUGACAUGUUUUGUUGAUUUUCUAAGUGAUUAUAAGUUAACAUAUCCUGCACAAUUUCUAUUUGUGAGUUUAACAUAUUGGACAAAAAUAUACAACUUAAAAUGUGCCAUACAUUUUUUGCACAGGCCACAUUUUAUGCUUUAUUCAUCAGCAAAUUCAGCAACA